CCUACGGGCGGCAGCAGUGAGGAAUAUUGGUCAAUGGACGAGAGUCUGAACCAGCCAAGUAGCGUGAAGGAUGACUGCCCUAUGGGUUGUAAACUUCUUUUAUAUGGGAAUAAAAUGUUCCACGUGUGGGAUUUUGUAUGUACCAUAUGAAUAAGGAUCGGCUAACUCCGUGCCAGCAGCCGCGGUAAUACGGAGGAUCCGAGCGUUAUCCGGAUUUAUUGGGUUUAAAGGGAGCGUAGGUGGAUUGUUAAGUCAGUUGUGAAAGUUUGCGGCUCAACCGUAAAAUUGCAGUUGAAACUGGCAGUCUUGAGUACAGUAGAGGUGGGAGGAAUUCGUGGUGUAGCGGUGAAAUGCUUAGAUAUCACGAAGAACUCCGAUUGCGAAGGCAGUUCACUGGACUGCAACUGACACUGAGGCUCGAAAGUGUGGGUAUCAAACAGGAUUAGAUACCCCUGUAGUC
rnacentral:rRNA from 1 species